GCGCCUGUGGCCUAAUGGAUAGGGCACUAGCCUCCGGAGCUGGUCGUGGCAGUUCGAUUCUGCCCAGGCGCG
rnacentral:tRNA from 1 species